rnacentral:lncRNA from 1 species
UCCCACAUCUUUCAAAUUCACCAAAAGCAGCACCAUGGAGGUAGUCCCGCAGAUAGGGUAGGAAGUGGGUCGGGCCGCCAGGAGGCCCAUCUAGUCGGCUCGAGGCCCAUCAGGCCGGGCUUCGGACUCGACCCCAACCCAUUUAGGCUGGGCUCUAGCCAAAAAAAAUAGGACCCAUUUGGCCAUUGAGUUGGGCUCAGGCAGAC